rnacentral:rRNA from 1 species
GCUGGCGGCGUGCCUCAGACAUGCAAGUCGAACGCGAAAGUCCCCUUCGGGGGGCGAGUAGAGUGGCGUCCGGGUGAGUAACACGUAGGUAAUCUACCUUCGGGUGGGGAAUAACGCAGGGAAACUUGCGCUAAUACCGCAUAAUGCAGCGGCACCACAUGGUGACAGUUGUUAAAGCGGGGGAUUUUCGAACCUCGCGCCUGAAGAGGAGCCUGCGGCAGAUUAGCUAGUUGGUAGGGUAACGGCUUACCAAGGCGACGAUCUGUAGCCGGCCUGAGAGGGCGGUCGGCCACACUGACACUGACAUACGGGUCAGACUCCUACGGGAGGCAGCAGUCGGGAAUUUUGGGCAAUGGGCGAAAGCCUGACCCAGCAACGCCGCGUGAAGGAUGAAAUCCCUCGGGAUGUAAACUUCGCAAGAAUGGGAAGAAUUAGCGAGUAUUAAUACUGCUCGUGAUGACGGUACCAUUUGUAAGCUCCGGCUAACUCCGUGCCAGCAGCCGCGGUAAUACGGGGGGAGCAAGCGUUGUUCGGAUUUACUGGGCGUAAAGGGCGCGUAGGCGGUCAGCACAAGUCAGUUGUGAAAUCUCCGGGCUUAACUCGGAAAGGUCA